rnacentral:rRNA from 1 species
AGAGUUUGAUCCUGGCUCAGGAUGAACGCUGGCGGUCUGCUUAACACAUGCAAGUCGAACGGAGUAGAAAUACUUAGUGGCGGACGGGUGAGUAACGCGUGAGAAUCUGCCUUCAGGACGGAGACAACAGUUGGAAACGACUGCUAAGCCCCGAUGUACCGAAAGGGAAAAUAUUUAUAGCCUGAAGAUGAGCUCGCGUCCGAUUAGCUAGUUGGCGGAGUAAAAGCCCACCAAGGCGACGAUCGGUAGCUGGUCUGAGAGGACGAUCAGCCACACUGGGACUGAGACACGGCCCAGACUCCUACGGGAGGCAGCAGUGGGGAAUUUUCCGCAAUGGGCGAAAGCCUGACGGAGCAAGACCGCGUGGGGGAAGAAGGCUCUUGGGUUGUAAACCCCUUUUCUCUGGGAAGAAAGUUGUGAAAGCAACCUGACGGUACCAGAGGAAUCAGCAUCGGCUAACUCCGUGCCAGCAGCCGCGGUAAGGCGGAGGAUGCAAGCGUUAUCCGGAAUGAUUGGGCGUAAAGCGUCCGCAGGUGGCAGUUCAAGUCUGCUGUCGAAGACCGGGGCUUAACUUCGGAAAGGCAGUGGAAACUGAACAGCUAGAGUAUGGUAGGGGCAGAGGGAAUUCCUGGUGUAGCGGUGAAAUGCGUAGAGAUCAGGAAGAACAUCGGUGGCGAAGGCGCUCUGCUGGACCAUAACUGACACUCAGGGACGAAAGCUAGGGGAGCGAAUGGGAUUAGAUACCCUCGUAGUCC